UUCGGCUGGCAGUGAGUCAGGAUCCGUAGCUGAAGCACCUUUCAGUGUGGAGUUUCCGUUCUCCUCCUGGGUGUUGUCUGGCCAGACAACACCAUGGUACUCCGCGCGCCCAACGGGCACAUUUGUGUGGUUAUAUUAAGUGUGGAACUAGCUAGUGGUGGCUCUGUUGGCGCAUCCGUGUGCCGGGCCCUAGCUGUUGAAGAACUAAUAAUCUUUGCCAUACUCAGCCACCAAGCGCUCCGAGCAUUGGUGUGUGUCCCAG
rnacentral:lncRNA from 1 species